UACAGAGGUCCCAAGCGUUGUUCGGAUUCACUGGGCGUAAAGGGUGCGUAGGUGGCGUGGUAAGUUUGAUGUGAAAGCUCAGGGCUUAACCCUGAAAUGGCAUUGAAUACUACUGUGCUGGAGGUUUGGAGGGGGGACUGGAAUUCUUGGUGUAGCAGUGAAAUGCGUAGAUAUCAAGAGGAACACCAGUGGCGAAAGCGGCGCACUGGACCACAACUGACGCUGAGGCGCGAAAGCUAGGGGAGCAAACAGG
rnacentral:rRNA from 1 species